rnacentral:rRNA from 1 species
GACGAACGCUGGCGGCGUGCUUAACACAUGCAAGUCGAGCGGUAAGGCCCUUUCGGGGGUACACGAGCGGCGAACGGGUGAGUAACACGUGGGUGACCUGCCCUCAGCUCUGGGAUAAGCCUGGGAAACUGGGUCUAAUACUGGAUAUGACUCCACGGUGCAUGUCGUGGGGUGGAAAGCCUUGUGCGGCUGAGGAUGGGCCCGCGGCCUAUCAGCUAGUUGGUGGGGUAAAAGCCUACCAAGGCGGCGACGGGUAGCUGGUCUGAGAGGAUGAUCAGCCACACUGGGACUGAGACACGGCCCAGACUCCUACGGGAGGCAGCAGUGGGGAAUAUUGGACAAUGGGCGAAAGCCUGAUCCAGCAAUGCCGCGUGUGUGAAGAAGG